rnacentral:rRNA from 1 species
UACAGAGGUCCCAAGCGUUGUUCGGAUUCAUUGGGCGUAAAGCGUGCGUAGGUGGUUUGUUAAGUCUGUUGUGAAAGCCCCGGGCUCAACCUGGGAAUGGCAAUGGAUACUGGCAAGCUAGAGUGCGGUAGAGGGUAGUGGAAUUCCCGGUGUAGCGGUGAAAUGCGCAGAUAUCGGGAGGAACACCAAUGGCGAAGGCAGCUUGCUGGGACGGUACUGACGCUGAGGCGCGAAAGCGUGGGGAGCGAACAGG